rnacentral:lncRNA from 1 species
UGCUGGGUGUGGACUGCUUAAAACCUCAGACUAGACCCAUAAAUUCCAAAGCGGGCCUGAGAACGUCCUGAAAUUCUCUUCCCAAGUCAGGGCUGAUGUUAUUUCAAAGAAAAGCAAAUCAACUUUCAAAACUCUUAACUCUGCAAGGUUUUGGGGGAGCCAUUGAAACUCGGAGGAGCCGAAGGACAAAGGCACCCUGGUCCCCUUACAUCUUGGAACAACUACUCCAGCUGCAGCAGGACGGGGCUGGUGGACACUGGAAGGGCAAGGAAAGCUCUGUUGUCAACCAAAGUACAGCGCGGAGGGGCGGGGGACCGGUGGCUGAAAGGUUAGAAAAGAAGGAACCCUGAUCUACAGCCGGC